GCCCAGGUGGCGUCUGGAUGGCUUCUCCACUGGUGGCAAUGCCUUCUUGGAGCCCAGUAGCAGUAACGAGUAGCCCUGAUGGGUGGCAUGGGCAGAGAUGCCAAUGGGUGAGGACCGCAAGAACAGGAAAGCAACCACAAAACACAAAGCACCUUUGUGUGUCCAAGUGAACUAUUGGCAGGACAUCAUGGAAAAAACCAAUGAGAGUUGAGUGUAGAGACAGGAGCAGAGAAACUUAGCUGAGUCCCACUGAUAAGACCCAUUUGCUCACACAGGCUGGAAAAGUCCAAGUGACACACGCUGUAUCCAUUCUGCAGACACUU
rnacentral:lncRNA from 1 species